GUUUCCCGUGCCCGUAGCUAACGCAUUAAAGUACCCCCCCUGGGGGAGUACGGCCGCAAGGCUAAAAACUCAAAAGGAAUUUGACGGGGGCCCGCACAAGCGGCGGAGCAUGUGGAUUAAUUCGAUGCAACGCGAAGAACCUUACCUGGGUUUGACAUACACCAGAAAGCUAUAGAGAUAUAGCCCCCCCUUGUGGUUGGUGUACAGGUGGUGCAUGGCUGUCGUCAGCUCGUGUCGUGAGAUGUUGGGUUAAGUCCCGCAACGAGCGCAACCCUUGUCCUGUAUUGCCAGCGGGUUAUGCCGGGGACUUGCAGGAGACUGCCGGGGUCAACUCGGAGGAAGGUGGGGAUGACGUCAAGUCAUCAUGCCCCUUAUGUCCAGGGCUUCACACAUGCUACAAUGGCUGGUACAGAGGGCUGCGAUACCGUGAGGUGGAGCGAAUCCCUUAAAGCCAGUCUCAGUUCGGAUUGGGGUCUGCAACUCGACCCCAUGAAGUCGGAGUCGCUAGUAAUCGCAGAUCAGCAACGCUGCGGUGAAUACGUUCCCGGGCCUUGUACACACCGCCCGUCACGUCAUGAAAGUCGGUAACACCCGAAGCCGGUGGCCUACCCCUUGUGGGAGGGAGCUUCGAAGGGAUCGGCUUGCG
rnacentral:rRNA from 1 species